rnacentral:rRNA from 1 species
AGCAGUGGGGAAUAUUGGACAAUGGGCGAAAGCCUGAUCCAGCCAUGCCGCGUGUGUGAAGAAGGCCUUCGGAUUGUAAAGCUCUUUAAUUUGGGAGGAAGGGGAGUUACCUAAUACCUGAUUGUCUUGACGUUACCGACAGAAUAAGCACCGGCUAACUCUGUGCCAGCAGCCGCGGUA